UGGUCUUUCCCCUAUUUCUAAAGACUAAUAAGAAAGAUAUCAGCAUUGGACACUACACAAACAGUAAUUUAUUUAUUUUUCGUUUAGGCGAUUUAUUUUUUAUAUUGACGUAAGAGUUGACGGAUCCAAUAAAAAAGGUUCCGGAUUCAACGUCGGAGGUGCCGGAACAUGUUCCGGCGUGUUCCGGCUCAAAUUAAGCCCUGACUUUACGCAGAGCAAACGUAAGGCGAAAACA